rnacentral:lncRNA from 1 species
UUGUGAGGGGGCGCCCAUAUAGGCUAAAGGGAGAGAGAAGGGAGAGCUCAAGAAGCUAGGGCAAGGGAAAGUGAAGGGAUUCAAGAGCAAUCUUCGAGUUUUCUUCGAAUCCAGGUAUGAGANNNNNNNNNNNNNNNNNNNNNGGUUUCAUAAUCGUGGGUGACACGAGGAAGGGGAGAAUGUCGAUUUCUCCUUACCCGAACUUUCUCCACUCCAUUUUCGUUUUAGUUUGGAUGAGUUUUUCUUAAUGGAAAUCGAAUCUAAGAUUCAUAACAUGUUUAAUAUACUCUUAGCAUGAUGUAUGAACGAAUUUAAUGAGCAAAAACGGAAUUUGUAGAUGUUUGAAUCCAAGAACAUGUGUUUGUAUAAGUUUUGAGUAAAAGUCGUGAAUCUUUACUUUUUCGAUGUUUAUGAUGUAGAUAUAUGAAACAAACCGUCCUUUUGUGUUUACAUAUAU